AGUUUAGUUCAGUUGGUAGAACACUCGACUUGUAAUCGAGAUGUCGGUGGUUCGAUUCCAUCAACU
rnacentral:tRNA from 1 species